CCUGAACAGGUGCAUGCAGCCUGGUCCUGCCCUCAGUGGGAACCCCCUUCCUCUUGGGUACUAGACAGAAUGCUGUACACUUUCCUGGAGG
rnacentral:pre_miRNA from 1 species